CUCACCGACUCGCUCACUCACCCACUCACCGACUCGCUCACCCACAAACUCACACACACACACCCAAUCAAUCUAUGUAUGUAUGUAUGUUGAACUUCUUUCGCACCGUACGUCGCCAACCCUACUGAUCAGAAUACGAGCUAAAGGAGAUCAUACACUAGAUCGGAUUUCUAACGCGGAGGUGUCAAAGAGCGAGGUGGGUCUUUGUUGUUUAUGACAACAGCAUGGGGAGCCCUUCACCGUUGGAGAGAAAUGGGCUGAUGAUGUGCUUAUUAAUCAAACUGCAUGUUGUAAUUCACACCACCACUCCCAAGAUAGUUGGGGGAAAAAAAUGUAGUUCAAGUUACAACCAGUUUGGAGUUUGAAAAACUAAAAUUCGUUUAUAUGUAGCCCGAGGUAGUAUCUCGACAAAAAAGUAGGGUGUAAUAGACCCGUGUGUUUGCUGUCAUCCUUGCAGUUCUCCUGGCUUUGUGAAAAGCAUUUCUUGAGCGAGAUUCGAGCAACGCAAAUGCUGCCUUUACACCUGCACUUUGUACCGUGAACACUCGCCAACCCUUCAUUUACACGCUUAAGUGAAGAUAACAUUUGUUAUGGCAUUGGGUUACAUCGCAUGUGUUGCUACUUUUUUUCGCAUUACAGAAGUGUGUUUGUAAAACCGAGAGGUGUUUUUAACGAAGAAGGUUGUGUCCCGUGUCAGCCCUCGCAUCUCCCACUUCGACGGCACCGCCUUCCGCGCAGGACCCAUGGCUACCUGGCAGAAACUCCAGAGCAGAACAUCUGAGCCCCUUGAAGAAGACGCAAGUGGGUCCAAUGGCCACAUUUCGGAAUCAACCGCUGGUCUGGUGCUAGGCUCCAGCAUGAGAAUAAGUCCGACUCCGAAACGUGGGUCUUGGCCAGGAUUCCUCUCCAGCCCAAUUGCAAUGAAGAGAGCGAUCGUUGUGUUGUACAUUCUCUUUGCCGUGCAUUUUAUACUGUGGGCAAUGACAGCAGUGUCCCAGAGUAUGAGGCAAGGCAAUGAAGCCAAAACAGUUGAAACUGAUGCCAAUGGUCUUCAAAAAAACAUGACAUUGCCGUCUGAAAAAUACCAACAGUUGCCUGCAGGAGUGAUUGAUGAGACUGAAACUGAUACAUUUGAGUCACGUAGCCAGAAUGUGUAUCAUCAACACUCAGAUGUCCAAAGCCUCUUCUCUUUCACCGAGGAGUUGAAUUCAACGGUUCUGCUCUUGCUAUCUCAGCUCAAACCCUGAAUGAUAAACGGAGAACCUCUCAGACAUUACCACAGUUCAAAUGAACAUGAACACUGCCAUAACAGAGCAGAGUAAGAUGCACAUCCAUCAAUUGCAGGAUAGGCUUGAGGGGGUGGAGAUGCUCCUGCAGCAGCUGAUGAGUGCUGUCCAGCGACUGAACCAGUCUUAUCAGGCAGAUAUUGCCUCCUACGGAAAUGACAUGCUCACUUUGAAAUUCUAUGGUGGCUACGUGACCUACCAAUCCAUGGAGAUGAAGCAGAACUCAAGAGGACAUGCAGAGGCAGCUGAAGAAAUGAGAUGGAAAUUCUCAAGAAAGUGACGGAGGACGUGCGACUGAAUAACUGGGAGCACAGCAUACCAUUACAGAACAUUACCAUAUUGACAGGUCCUCCUGGGCCAAAGGGGAACCAAGGCGACAUGGGGCACACAGGUGUACCUGGCAUGCCUGGCUCAAAGGGUGAAAGAGGAUUUACAGGUUUCCUUGGGCUUGCUGGACAGAAGGGAUAUCCAGGAGAAAAGGGGGACAUGGGACCCAGAGGGCCGUCUGGACUUCCAGGAAACACACGGUGUCCGGGCAGAAAAGGGCAUGAGUGGAGAGAAAGGAGAGAAAGGUGACAAAGGUGACAAAGGUGAUCCAGACGACGUCCGAGUGCCCGUGGUGAGGCUUGUUGGUGGAAGAAGGUCCAAUGAGGGGAGAGUGGAGGUGUUGCACGAUGGGCAGUGGGGCACCAUCUGUAACGACAACUGGAAUGUGCAGAAUGCGAAUGUUGUUUGCAAAAUGUUGGGCUACAAAAGUGCCUCUGCAUCAGCUACCAUUGUGAGCCCGUAUGGCCAAGGGAGUGGCCCCAUCUGGAUGGAUGAGGUUGAGUGCAGUUCCACUGAGACUGACAUCAGGAAGUGCAAGUUUAUCGGUUGGGGAAACCACAACUGCCAACAUAGCGAAGAUGUUGGUGUGGCCUGUGUUCCAUUGUGAUGCAAAUCACAACUUCUACUUUGGUGCUCAGCAAUGGCGUAGUAACUACGUUAUCAGUGACGUAGUAACGACAUCAUCAGUGGCGUAGUAGCUACAUCAUCA